rnacentral:rRNA from 1 species
UCCUACGGGAGGCUGCAGUGGGGAAUCUUGCGCAAUGGGCGAAAGCCUGACGCAGCCAUGCCGCGUGAAUGAUGAAGGUCUUAGGAUUGUAAAAUUCUUUCACCGGGGACGAUAAUGACGGUACCCGGAGAAGAAGCCCCGGCUAACUUCGUGCCAGCAGCCGCGGUAAUACGAAGGGGGCUAGCGUUGCUCGGAAUUACUGGGCGUAAAGGGAGCGUAGGCGGACAUUUAAGUCAGGGGUGAAAUCCCGGGGCUCAACCUCGGAAUUGCCUUUGAUACUGGGUGUCUUGAGUAUGAGAGAGGUGUGUGGAACUCCGAGUGUAGAGGUGAAAUUCGUAGAUAUUCGGAAGAACACCAGUGGCGAAGGCGACACACUGGCUCAUUACUGACGCUGAGGCUCGAAAGCGUGGGGAGCAAACAGGAUUAGAUACCCUUGUAGUCGAAUUCUU